rnacentral:rRNA from 1 species
UACGAAGGGGGCUAGCGUUGUUCGGAAUUACUGGGCGUAAAGCGCGCGCAGGCGGUUCUCCAAGUCAGUGGUGAAAGCCCGGAGCUCAGCUCCGGAACUGCCAUUGAAACUGUUGAACUUGAGGACGAGAGAGGUGAGUGGAAUUCCCAGUGUAGAGGUGAAAUUCGUAGAUAUUGGGAAGAACACCAGUGGCGAAGGCGGCUCACUGGCUCGUAUCUGACGCUCAGGCGCGAUAGCGUGGGGAUCAAACAGG